rnacentral:rRNA from 1 species
AGAGCGAACGCUGGCGGCAGGCUUAACACAUGCAAGUCGAGCGGGCGUAGCAAUACGUCAGCGGCAGACGGGUGAGUAACGCGUGGGAACAUACCUUUUGGUUCGGAACAACACAGGGAAACUUGUGCUAAUACCGGAUAAGCCCUUACGGGGAAAGAUUUAUCGCCGAAAGAUUGGCCCGCGUCUGAUUAGCUAGUUGGUGAGGUAACGGCUCACCAAGGCGACGAUCAGUAGCUGGUCUGAGAGGAUGAUCAGCCACAUUGGGACUGAGACACGGCCCAAACUCCUACGGGAGGCAGCAGUGGGGAAUAUUGGACAAUGGGCGCAAGCCUGAUCCAGCCAUGCCGCGUGAGUGAUGAAGGCCCUAGGGUUGUAAAGCUCUUUUGUGCGGGAAGAUAAUGACGGUACCGCAAGAAUAACGCCCGGCUAACUUCGUGCCAGCAGCCGC